rnacentral:rRNA from 1 species
UACGUAGGGGGCUAGCGUUGUCCGGAAUCAUUGGGCGUAAAGCGCGUGUAGGCGGUCCGGUAAGUCCGCUGUGAAAGUCGGGGGCUCAACCCUCGGAUGCCGGUGGAUACUGUCGGACUAGAGUACGGAAGAGGCGAGUGGAAUUCCUGGUGUAGCGGUGAAAUGCGCAGAUAUCAGGAGGAACACCGAUGGCGAAGGCAGCUCGCUGGGACGGUACUGACGCUGAGGCGCGAAAGCGUGGGGAGCAAACAGG